rnacentral:tRNA from 1 species
GGAUGUAGUGUAGUGGUUUGAGUGUUGGACUACAACUCUGGAGACCAGGGUUCAAUUCCCUGCUCAGCCA